GUCAACCGAAAAGACAUGAUGGUGCGCUGCUCACUCGAUUUCGGAGUCUACGCAAUCAUUUCCAUCAGACUUCUCGGAGUUUCCUUCUUCAAGAAUAAGAGGGGACUUGUGCUGUCUUACAGCGAAAGAGACUCUAAGUGGCAGGCUUCAGUCAGGACUGUUUCGCAAGAGGCGAAGUUGGAUAAGUACGUCCGAAUUCUCAGCUGGUACGGCUUGCACUUAAAUGAAACUGAGAGACUCGCUUCCCUCAUCAGGAAACACGAGUCAAAACUUGACAACAUCGUCGUGAAUGAAUAUGUGUCGCAAGCCAACAUCUUGGAAGGCAGUAUUCGUUCUAUGGGGAUGAAGACACGACCAUACGUAAAGGGAG